GUGAAUUUCUCAACAUUUUGGCAAACUUUGAAAUUCUUCCGACUCUUAAAAGGUUAAUGGGAAUGAAUGAUUUGCAAGUUAGAUCUGUUGCUACAGAUAUAUUGUCUUAUGUAGUAUACUUUCAUCCAUCCAUGGUCCUCAACUUUGUACUGCAAGAGAUCCAUCGGAAUGACAAGAAUGACCAGCUCCUCAUUGUGAUCAUUGAGCAGCUGAUCAACAAUGCUGACCCUGGGCUUGGAGGAGAUAAUCAGCUGAAG